AUUGAACGCUGGCGGAAUGCUUUACACAUGCAAGUCGAGCGGCAGCGCGGCCUUCGGGCUGGCGGCGAGCGGCGAACGGGUGAGUAAUGCAUCGGAACAUGCCCAGUCGUGGGGGAUAACACUUCGAAAGAAGUGCUAAUACCGCAUACGUCCUGAGGGGGAAAGCGGGGGAUCGCAAGACCUCGCGCGAUUGGAGUGGCCGAUGUCAGAUUAGCUAGUUGGUGGGGUAAAGGCCUACCAAGGCGACGAUCUGUAGCUGGUCUGAGAGGAUGAUCAGCCACACUGGGACUGAGACACGGCCCAGACUCCUACGGGAGGCAGCAGUGGGGAAUUUUGGACAAUGGGGGCAACCCUGAUCCAGCCAUUCCGCGGGAGUGAAGAAGGCCUUCGGGUUGUAAAGCUCUUUCGGCAGGAACGAAACGGUGGGCUCUAACAUAGUCCGCUAAUGACGGUACCUGAAGAAGAAGCACCGGCUAACUACGUGC
rnacentral:rRNA from 1 species